UACGUAGGGUGCAAGCGUUGUCCGGAAUUAUUGGGCGUAAAGGGCUCGUAGGCGGUUUGUCGCGUCGGGGAGUGAAAACUCAGGGCUUAACCCUGAGCCUGCUUCCCGAUACGGGCAGACUAGAGGUAUGCAGGGGAGAACGGAAUUCCUGGUGUAGCGGUGAAAUGCGCAGAUAUCAGGAGGAACACCGGGUGGCGAAGGCGGUUCUCUGGGCAUUACCUGACGCUGAGGAGCGAAAGUGUGGGGAGCGAACAGG
rnacentral:rRNA from 1 species